UUUUUGCUUCUUAAUGACGUUACAUGUAAUGGUAACUAUUGCAUUCCAAAUAAAUUCAUUGCUUUUUUUCUGAAAAUAAGAUAUAACGUUUAAACUAUGAACUACAGCAAAAUAUUUCUAUUAUAUUACUCGUAAAUUGGCGUGAGGCAACUAAAUUGUCAUCUAAUUAUAAACAUAUAAAAAUAUUAUUUACUUUUACAUUUGCUUGUAUUUCAAUAAUACAACAUAACAACAUCGUCUAGACUGGAAAAUUAAAUGUAAUUAUGUAUAUCAUUUUUAUGCAGCUGAAUAUGCAUUAUAUAUUGCAGACUCGUACACAAAGACAUUUAGUGCAGUCAUUUUACGUCUGUAUAUGAUGUGGACGAUGAUGAAUAUAAAGGCUUAUACCUUACUGAUAUUGUAUUUCAAUAGCGCUGCGGGUUAUGUGAACCUCGAGUCAGACACAAGCAAAGCAAACGAAUACCUGAUUGAGAAGUGGGAAAAGUUGUAUACUUCCAAUGAUUUCAAUCAUGAUGCGUUCUGUCAAUGGAUGACAUUAAACUGUUUGGGUAAGUUUAGAAA